GACGAACGCUGGCGGCGUGCUUAACACAUGCAAGUCGAACGGAAAGCCCCGGCUCUUGUGGCGUGCUCGAUUGGCGAUCAGGUGGGUAACACGUGGGUAACCCGCCCUUCACUUUGGGAUAACUUCAGGAAACUGGGGCUAAUACCGGAUAGGAGCUCCUGCUCCGGGGUGGGGGUUGGAAAGUUGCGGCUGUUGUGGCUGGACUGGCGGCUUCUCAGCCUGUUGGGGGGGUAGUGGCUUACCAAGGCUUUGACGGGUAGCCGGCCUGGGAGGGUGACCGGCCACAUUGGGACUGAGAUACGGCCCAGAGUCCAACGGGAGGCAGCAGUGGGGAAUAUUGCGGAAUGGGGGGAAGCGUGAUGCAGCAACGCCGGGAGCGGGAGGACGGCCUUCGGGUGGUAAACCGCUUUCGCCUGUGAUGAAGAGUGAGUGACGGUACUGAGUAAAGAAGCACCGGCUAACUACGUG
rnacentral:rRNA from 1 species